rnacentral:rRNA from 1 species
UACGUAGGUGGCGAGCGUUGUCCGGAUUUACUGGGCGUAAAGAGCGCGCAGGCGGUCGUGCAAGUCGCGUGUGAAAGCCCCCGGCUCAACUGGGGAGGGUCACGCGAUACUGAUCGACUCGAAGGCAGGAGAGGGUAGUGGAAUUCCCGGUGUAGUGGUGAAAUGCGUAGAUAUCGGGAGGAACACCAGUGGCGAAGGCGACUACCUGGCCUGUUCUUGACGCUGAGGCGCGAAAGCUAGGGGAGCGAACGGG